rnacentral:rRNA from 1 species
UACGGAGAGUGCAAACGUUGUUCGGAUUCACUGGGCGUAAAGGGCACGUAGGCGGCUCGGCAAAUCGGUCGUGGAAUCUCGACGCUUACCGUCGAAACGGCGGCCGAAAAUACCGGGCUCGAGGGCGUGAGGGGUCACUGGAACUCCUGGUGAAGCGGUGAAAUGCGUAGAUAUCGAGGAGGACGCCGGAGGCGAAAGCGAGUGACUGGCGCGUUCCUGACGGUGAGGUGACGAAAGGCAUAGGGGGAGCAAACAACGGG